AUCAAAACCUCUGUUCUACGCUCCCUCAUAAAAGAUGUUCAAAAUCUGUCUAUUUUGGUCAAUAUUCAAUGGAAUAACAGUGGCAGUAAGCAUCCCGAUUUAUAUCGUCUUCGUCGUAUGAACAACAAAGACGACAAUAGUGUGAUGUCAAAUGGGUCUGUAUUGGGGUGUCGAUGAGGGAGUGCUGAGCCAAAGAAAGAUGGUACAGGUGAAGUGAGAGAGCUGAGAGAUAGGGGAAAUAAGUCAGAUCUAGUUUUAAUGAAGAAGUGUGGUCGGAAUGGUGGCGGUGAGUGUGGGUUGAGUUACGGGUUGAGAAUCUUCUCUGCUUGUGGGUAGGGUCGAAUGAGAAGAUGGUGAUAGGUUUGUAAUCUUUGCAAUAGAGAUCUCUUGAACUGGGAUUGCAGAUGGCAUGGAAAUCAUCGGAGUUCAUUGGCCGGCUUGAGAGUUGCACGAUUGGCAGUUUGCUAGCGGUGAGGACGAGCGGUCUCUCGAUUCUAGAGACAUGAUGCCAAGAGUCGUGUUCGUGCUUGCACAAAGCUUGUAGGAGGCGAAAUCGUCCACUAGUGAAUUGAAG
rnacentral:misc_RNA from 1 species